GUUAAAGACUACAUGAGACUUUGACAGAUGGCGGGAAACCCACAUCCACUGGUAGAGGAAUGUCUGCAACUAAGCCGAGGGCCACUGGAUAAGGGUUGUUGAUGGUAAAACAGGUUAAAGACUACAUGAGACUUUGACAGAUGGCGGGAAACCCACAUCCACUGGUAGAGGAAUGUCUGCAACUAAGCCGAGGGCCACUGGAUAAGGGUUGUUGAUGGUAAAACAGGUUAAAGACUACAUGAGACUUUGACAGAUGGCGGGAAACCCACAUCCACUGGUACGAACCCGGUAGAGGAAUGUCUGCAACUAAGCCGAGGGCCACUGGAUAAGGGUUGUUGAUGGUAAAACAGGUUAAAGACUACAUGAGACUUUGACAGAUGGCGGGAAACCCACAUCCACUGGUACGAACCCGGUAAAUUGAUGGCUGUAAAACAGUGACCGCUGAUUCGCAUCGAGUUCUUUCUUGCAAAACGCAUGACCCCCCUUUUUUAUUGUCUAAAUCAUUGCGACUUGGAAUGCUCUUUAAGAAAAGGUAUGGUUAUGGGGGUCUCUAUGCGCAAAAGUUUGACUUUAUUUUUUGUUGAAGUUAUUGCUUUUACAUUGAAUUUGUGUAGGAAAUCUUUUGGUAUAUUGUAACCU